rnacentral:rRNA from 1 species
GAUGAACGCUGGCGGCGUGCCUAAUACAUGCAAGUCGAGCGAACAGACGAGGAGCUUGCUCCUCUGACGUUAGCGGCGGACGGGUGAGUAACACGUGGAUAACCUACCUAUAAGACUGGGAUAACUUCGGGAAACCGGAGCUAAUACCGGAUAAUAUAUUGAACCGCAUGGUUCAAUAGUGAAAGACGGUUUUGCUGUCACUUAUAGAUGGAUCCGCGCCGCAUUAGCUAGUUGGUAAGGUAACGGCUUACCAAGGCGACGAUGCGUAGCCGACCUGAGAGGGUGAUCGGCCACACGGAAACUGAGACACGGUCCAGACUCCUACGGGAGGCAGCGGUGGGGAAUCUUCCGCAAUGGGCGAAAGCCUGACGGAGCAACGCCGCGUGAGUGAUGAGGGUCUUCGGAUCGUAAAACCCUGUAAUUAGGGAAGAACAAAUGUGUAGUAACUAUGCACGUCUUGACGGUACCUAAUCAGAAAGCCACGGCUAACUACGUG